rnacentral:rRNA from 14 species
UGCAUGGCUGUCGUCAGCUCGUGUCGUGAGAUGUUGGGUUAAGUCCCGCAACGAGCGCAACCCUUAUUUUUAGUUGCCUUUAAUGGAACUCUAAAAAGACUGCUGGUUAUAAACCGGAGGAAGGCGGGGAUGACGUCAAGUCAGCAUGCCCCUUACACCCUGGGCUACACACGUGCUACAUUGGGCGAGACAAUUGAGAUGCAACUCUGCGAAGAUUAGCUAAUCUAUAAACUCGUUCUAUUUCGGAUUGUAGGCUGCAACUCGCCUGCAUGAAGGUGGAAUCGCUAGUAAUCGCUGGUCAGCUACACAGCGGUGAAUUCGUUCCCGGGCCACAGA